CAACUCUUCUAUUUCAUUUUACAGUAAUAGAAUUGAAGUAGCAUGUAUAUCAAGAGGUUGUUGCUUUGAAGAGGCAAGAGGAGAUCAUUCGUGAGAAAGAGGAGACUUGGCAAGAUGAGAAUGAGAAAAAAGUAAAUGGUGGAUCUGCUGACAAGGAAAAACGCUCCAAGGAAAAACAGGAAAAAACAUGUCAGUCUAGUAUCAUGCUUCGGUAUGCAAAUCAUCUUGUGGCUUCCGUAUCUUUGUCCUGGAUGUAGGUUAAAUGCUAAACCAUCCUAUCCAAAUCCAUCCAUUAUGCAGCUAGAGCUUGGCGUGGUUUAUAUUUUUGUCAGUCUGCGCAAACUAGAGUGGCAGUAUGGUUAUAUGAAUGUUGGAUUUUCAAUAUUUUUGUCGAUAGGUACAUAGUUGUACACUAGUGUGAAUUACAAAUUUUAUGGGUACUCUUUUUGUAGAUCUCGAAAAGAGCUUUCCGAAUAUAUAACGUUUGUGAAUUUUGGACGAGCGGUACGAAAGAUAAAUGUUUUUUUAAUUAUUUGUAUAUUAUUUAAAAUUGCUGA